GAGUUUGAUCAUGGCUCAGGAUGAACGCUAGCUACAGGCUUAACACAUGCAAGUCGAGGGGCAGCAUGGGCUUAGCUUGCUAAGCCCGAUGGCGACCGGCGCACGGGUGAGUAACACGUAUCCAACCUUCCGGUAACUCCGGUAUAGCCUUUCGAAAGAAAGAUUAAUCCCGGAUAGUAUGGUGAUUCCGCAUGGUUUCUCCAUUAAAGGAUUCCGGUUACCGAUGGGGAUGCGUUCCAUUAGGCAGUUGGCGGGGUAACGGCCCACCAAACCUACGAUGGAUAGGGGUUCUGAGAGGAAGGUCCCCCACAUUGGAACUGAGACACGGUCCAAACUCCUACGGGAGGCAGCAGUGAGGAAUAUUGGUCAAUGGGCGGAAGCCUGAACCAGCCAAGUAGCGUGAAGGAUGACUGCCCUAUGGGUUGUAAACUUCUUUUAUAAGGGAAUAAUUGUGGGUACGUGUACCCAUUUGCAUGUACCUUAUGAAUAAGGAUCGGCUAACUCCGUGCCAGCAGCCGCGGUAC
rnacentral:rRNA from 1 species